rnacentral:rRNA from 1 species
GACGAACGCUGGCGGCGUGCUUAACACAUGCGAGUCGAACGGAAAGGCCCCUUUGGGGGUACUCGAGUGGCGCACGGGUGAGUAACACGUGAGUAACCUGCCCUUGACUUCGGGAUAACUUCAGGAAACUGGGGCUAAUACCGGAUAGGAAUCCUUGCUGCAUGGUGGGGGUUGGAAAGCUUCGGCGGUUUUGGAUGGACUCGCGGCUUAUCAGCUUGUUGGUGGGGUAGUGGCUUACCAAGGCUUUGACGGGUAGCCGGCCUGAGAGGGCGACCGGCCACAUUGGGACUGAGAUACGGCCCAGACUCCUACGGGAGGCAGCAGUGGGGAAGAUUGCACAAUGGGCGGAAGCCUGAUGCAGCAACGCCGCGUGCGGGAGGACGGCCUUCGGGUUGGAAACCGCUUUCAGCAGGGGCGAAGCUUGUGGUGACGGUACCUGCAGAAGAAGCACCGGCUAACUACGUG